CAAAUUAAAUUUAAAUGGGCUGGUCUCCAACUUGUAAAUCAAUGGCUGGAGUUUGAGGUACUUUACUGGAACAGCUUUCCUUCAGUUAAGUUUCUUCAGCCAAAGAACAAAGAAUUAGACACAGUGAAUAAUCUAUCACUGGAAAAGCAUGAUGCCCAUAUGUUUAAUUUCUCUUCAUACAUGGGAAGAUAGAUGUUUGAUGUCUGCUGAGGCCAGUGGAAAGGUAACCAAGUGUUUUGUGCUACAGGGGACUCAUAAGUGUGUUUAAUGCUAGCUUAUUUGAGAAGUAAGAUAAAUUUGAAAUAGAGUAAACCUCAUACCUCUAAGCUUGUAAACUUGUCUGUCUUUGGAGAGUGAUAAGAAGCAUUGGUAGAAGUAGUGCAUUUAUGGGAAUUGAGCAUAUCUCUCUAAAUAAUAUCAGAUCUGUAGUUUUAUUUAAGUGUCAGUCUCUAGGAUUACUUCCUGUAAUUGUUUCACCACAGCAUGGUUUUACAUGAGUUUAAGUCUUCAAAAAAACUUUACUGAUUGUCUGUACUCUUAAGAUUUCUUGUCAUCUGGUCCUGCAGCUGAAAACCAUCUUAUGCAUGCCUGUAUCAACUUCAGCUUUUUUUUUUUUUCUAAAUCUGUACAUACCUUGUCUUUAGAGACUCCUUGGACUCUCCACCUGAGGAGGGCUCUCAGAAGUCUUCCCUCAUUCUUUCCCUUCCACGCUUUCCAAUCCUUUCUCGUCCUUCACUUCCCAAAGGACAAACUCAGCCUGUUACAGUGAAUCCUGUUAGAAGACGAUCUUCAUCCAGGAUGUCCAUGCCCAAGCCUCAGCCUUACAUGAUGCCUCCACCACCUCAGCUGCAUUACAAUGGUCAUUAUAGUGAACCAUAUGCAUCUUCCCAAGGUAAG